GACGAACGCUGGCGGCGUGCUUAACACAUGCAAGUCGAACGAUGAAGCCUAGCUUGCUAGGUGGAUUAGUGGCGAACGGGUGAGUAAUACGUGAGUAACCUACCUUUAACUCUGGGAUAAGCCUGGGAAACUGGGUCUAAUACCGGAUACGACCAAUCUCCGCAUGGGGUGUUGGUGGAAAGCGUUAUGUAGUGGUUAUAGAUGGGCUCACGGCCUAUCAGCUUGUUGGUGAGGUAACGGCUCACCAAGGCGACGACGGGUAGCCGGCCUGAGAGGGUGACCGGCCACACUGGGACUGAGACACGGCCCAGACUCCUACGGGAGGCAGCAGUGGGGAAUAUUGCACAAUGGGCGCAAGCCUGAUGCAGCGACGCCGCGUGAGGGAUGACGGCCUUCGGGUUGUAAACCUCUGUUAGCAGGGAAGAAGAGAGAUUGACGGUACCUGCAGAGAAAGCGCCGGCUAACUACGUGCCAGCAGCCGCGGUAAUACGUAGGGCGCGAGCGUUGUCCGGAAUUAUUGGGCGUAAAGAGCUUGUAGGCGGUUUGUCGCGUCUGCUGUGAAGGCCGGGGCUUAACUCCGUGUAUUGCAGUGGGUACGGGCAGACUAGAGUGCAGUAGGGGAGACUGGAAUUCCUGGUGUAGCGGUGGAAUGCGCAGAUAUCAGGAGGAACACCGAUGGCGAAGGCAGGUCUCUGGGCUGUAACUGACGCUGAGAAGCGAAAGCAUGGGGAGCGAACAGGAUUAGAUACCCUGGUAGUCCAUGCCGUAAACGUUGGGCACUAGGUGUGGGGAACAUUCCACGUUUUCCGCGCCGUAGCUAACGCAUUAAGUGCCCCGCCUGGGGAGUACGGCCGCAAGGCUAAAACUCAAAGAAAUUGACGGGGGCCCGCACAAGCGGCGGAGCAUGCGGAUUAAUUCGAUGCAACGCGAAGAACCUUACCAAGGCUUGACAUAUACUGGACCGCAUCAGAGAUGGUGUUUCCCUUCGGGGCUGGUAUACAGGUGGUGCAUGGUUGUCGUCAGCUCGUGUCGUGAGAUGUUGGGUUAAGUCCCGCAAUGAGCGCAACCCUCGUUCUAUGUUGCCAGCACGUAAUGGUGGGGACUCAUAGGAGACUGCCGGGGUCAACUCGGAGGAAGGUGGGGAUGACGUCAAAUCAUCAUGCCCCUUAUGUCUUGGGCUUCACGCAUGCUACAAUGGCCGGUACAGAGGGUUGCGAUACUGUGAGGUGGAGCUAAUCCCUAAAAGCCGGUCUCAGUUCGGAUUGGGGUCUGCAACUCGACCCCAUGAAGUCGGAGUCGCUAGUAAUCGCAGAUCAGCAACGCUGCGGUGAAUACGUUCCCGGGCCU
rnacentral:rRNA from 1 species